CUGAGGGAAGCCGGGCAAGCCUCUGGUCCGAGCCACCAGCUCUACCAAUAUCCUUCCAAGAGGCUCGCCAUAAUGUAUUUCUUGUUCCUGGCAACAAACUUGAGUCAGUUCAGCGAGUUCCUAGAGCAAAUCUGAUCCGGAUGGUUGACCUGAAAUCCAGGGGGCAAACACUUGAAGAUUGAACAGCUCCCUUUCAGCAGAGCACCCGGCCUUGCGAGACAUGAUGUGGCCUCAAAUGCUGAUGGUGAACACAGGUGUCAAAAGGACUUGAGCCUCGCACAAAAGGGCCGACUGUCCUUGUUAGAAAGAAGUACGAGGUUUUUAUGGGCACAACUGCUGUCAUUCCCACACACUCGUUCCCCAUUUCCGUACCUUCUACUGCAACUCUGCUGCCACAUCAGGGAGCUUUUCUCGUGCAGAGUCUAGACGGAUACUACAUAUUUGAAAUAGCAUGAGGAAUUUGGAAUGAGGCAUCCAAAGGGAUUCAGACCUACAACAAAGGAACUUCAUGUGCUCCACUGCCUACCCAGCAUCUUCAGUGCUGUUAUUCCAAGGACUGAAGUCACCACAACCAAUUCAAUCUAUGUUUGACCACCCUGGCAGAAAACUCCUUUAAAGAUCUUUGCAAAAGGCGCUAGAAAAAUUGCUAAGGCUAUUUGCCUUUCAUCUCUUUUUCCAUCAAUAAGAGUAAUUUCCCAUGCUCCACAGGGUCAAGCACCUGCCUAAGAAGUUAGAGUAUUUCUUAAAUAGCUGUAGCCCUAGCUUCAUCUAUGUGCCUUCUGUACCAUGUGCCUACAUGCCUCAGAUGAGCACAGGAGUCAUAAUACCCCCCUCACCUCCUGCUGGAACAACUCCACAGCUUGUUCAACCACAGAAGAUAAAAAAGGGAUGCAGAAGUUGAGCACCACUGCUGUGAGUGACCACCAGCAGCACGUAUUCUCUCUUCACCCUGUAUCUUGCAUACCUUGAGCGCAUCUUUGAGAAAUGAGCCAUUCAGUGGUUCCACCUAUUUUAUUCCCCCUUCUUGAAAAGGAAGUAUGGAAGCAGGUGACACUAUAGGAGAGUAUUUUUGAUAUACAAAUGUCUUCAGGGACAGCUCACUUGGGUGGGCUGUUUCCAAGAUGGGAAAAUCCCCAAGACCAGCUCUGGAGAGGCCAGCAGUGCUUACACAGGGAGCAAGACAGCAGCAAUGGAUAUUACAGUAACUGCACUGGAAAAUUCCCCCUCCUCCCCUGAGCAUCUGUUCUGCAUGUGUUGAACAGAUCUUCUUUGUCUCUUGUCCAGCAGUAUGUGAACGAACUCAAGUUCCCUCAGGGAAUGAAGGGAUACAAGAGAAGUCAGCAUAAAGAUUUGUGCUGGAAGGAUAAAAGAUAACAGCCUGUCAAACUGCAGACCUUUAAAGCUUAACACUUUCUUUCAAAUUUGCUCUCACACUGCUAUCUACUGCCAAAAUAUUACGAGUUUGUGACCCAAACUUACAUUUACUGCUUCUUAUCAAGACAUUUCAGAUGAAAAAAAGAGUAGAAAAAGUACAAUGUAUAAACAGAAAAAAUUAAUUGGUUCGUUUGUAUCAUAAAAUACCAUGAGAUGUGCUCAGUUUUUAGCAAUCACAACUAUGCAAGACAGCCUGUACACUCAGGCAAACAUUUUCAUUGGUCACUUCUUUGCAGAAGUGAUUUUAUUACUUCCCACACAUGGAAACCUUCCUCAUCUCCCCGCAAAUGUUUAACUUCACAGUUUAACCUCGAUUCAAAAUGCCAAGGCAUCAGAUCUUGUGUAGUUGAAUGUUCCAGCCACCUAAUCAUGUAAACUUAAUAUAAUUUCUUGUAGAAUCAAAUAGUAAUCCAAGAUCACUUAAAAACCACGAGCUAACUUGUUUGAGGUUUAUUUAGCUCAGGGUGUCCCUCAAAAGCACUGUGCAAAUUUUCCCAAGUUUCCUGUAACAGAGUUUGCUUCAGAAAAGUACAUUUAAGUCAGAGCAAGACAACUAUUGAAAAAAAGAAUUUCUAUUAACAAUUAAAACAUAUCAGCACAGUGUUUUGACAAGGACAUGUUGAUUCAAAAUCCCAAGUCCUUAACAAGUCCUUAAAUAAGAUAUUUGGUUGGUAGCACUUGUCUAUAUUGUCCUCCUGGAGUCAGCUUCAUGCUUCAAAUUCCCAGUGCAGACAAAUUUACCUGUUUUCAGACUACAGCACAUGUUAAAGCACUAGCAUUUCAGAUUUUGAUUUGAAUAAUUCACACAGUUUCUGUAAACAGUUUUAAUCAGGGGAAGAAAAAAUGGUCUGAAAACUGUUCUUUUGUCACUCCCUGAAAAGGAAGGAAGCAAAUGCACAUCCUGAGGGCCAUAAACCAUGUACUGAGGUGAAAAAUCUUCAUCUACUUCACUAAAGAAUUGGGAAAACUAAUACACAUGCCUGAGAUGUAAAAAUGGUGGCACAAAUUUUUAAAAUUACCAGGUAUUUGAAUCAAUGAAUAUACUUGAAUUUGACUCUACAGUACAUUUGUAUUUAAAUGUCAGUGCAGUCAUGUCUCAGCUGUCAACUUAGACAGCUCUGAGACAGGUUAUAUAUUUCAGAGCCUGAGGGGCUUCUUGCUUCAGUGAAGUGGUAUUUAAUUAGAUGUAUUUCAAAUUAUCAGUGCAAUAAGCACACAUGAGAGAAAAAAAAAAAAAAAGAAAAAAAGGAGCAUUCAAGACAAAAGUUAAAUUUGGGAGAAAGACAAUUUGCAGAGCUGAGAUGGCAAAUCAAGGAAGUGUUGCUCCCUCCAUGCCCUUAUUUCUAGCUGAUGCCUGCCUUAUUUGGUGUCACAGUCAGGAUUUCCAUGGGAUGGGACCAGCAAAUAAGACACACUGGUGUUGCUGGGAAUCAUCCCUGUACUUGUUUUGUCUGCACCUGGAACCCACACCAGCUGUAUGAGACUAAAAGGUUGGCUGCUUCUCACACACUGUUUCUGGCAAGGGGAAGUGCAGUACAGCAGUACCAGUUCCUACAGCAACACCUGUGGCCCCCUGGUGCACCCACAGAGGAGUACCCAGCACGUGUCUGGGAUCACCUGGAUCCUCCAUCCCUCAAGCUCCGUGUUCCCUCGGUGCAACUCUCUCCUCACAAAGGCCACCCAGGAGCUGACUAACAGGAAAAUCUAUUAGCUGCUGCUCACCUGGUCUGGAUUUUAGAAGGUGAGCAAGAGGGUACAUUUCCUAUUAUGAAUCCCCCAUGCUCCCCAGCCCCACGGACUGUUCCGUUAUUGCAUUUCUUGUUGAGUAUAGAUCCACGUUUCGAUAUUGCGCAUGAUGGAAACUCUCUUGGCUUUCUGGAAUUCAUCACAACCUUGAUCCACUCCAAGCAUACUGGUGAGCAUGAAACAAUAGAAACAGCCUUCCAACUGUCACCUUGGAUUUGUCAUCAAAUGUGGAAUAUUAUGGGAAAACUUUCAAGAGGUGAAAUAAAUACCUUCCCAACUGGCAAAAUAAGCAAAACAUCACUUCAUCAUGUUUAACUAACUCUCAAGUGUCUCCUUACACCAUUUAUACUGACUUGCAGCUAGCUACAGUGAUCAUGUCAGAACCUUUGUCAAGGGUCAAAACUAUUCAACAAAAAAUUCCAGUAAUUUUGAUAUUAUUACUGUUACAGAUAACAUAUUUUAUUACACAAUGAUAAAACAGGUAUCUUAGCAGAGUGUAUGCCAUCCACUUAGCCUGAACUGCAUCUUUUAGUACAGCGUGGAUGGUCAAACUUAGCAAAUUGUACCAGCUCACUGAAGCCUGCCCAAUGGCAGUUCUCAGGUCUGUUAUAGCACCUAUGCAAAUACCUGUUUUAUUUCAUCUGCAAUACAGUCAACACUGCUCCCUGAAUACUUGAAACAUGGCCAUUGGCUCAUGGUCUGAAGUAAAAUAUAGGUAUUGCUGUAAUUUAAA